rnacentral:rRNA from 1 species
GACGAACGCUGGCGGCGUGCUUAACACAUGCAAGUCGAACGGAAAGGCCCUGCUUUUGUGGGGUGCUCGAGUGGCGCACGGGUGAGUAACACGUGAGUAACCUGCUCUUGACUUUGGUAUAACUUCAGGACACUGGGGCUAAUACCGGAUAGGAGCUCCUGCUGCAUGGUGGGGGUUGGAAAUUUUCGUGGGUUGGGGACGGACUCGCGGCUUAUCAGCUGGUUGGUGGGGUAGUGGCUUACCAAGGCUUUGACGGGUAGCCGGCCUGAGAGGGGGACCGGCCACAUGGGGACUGGGAUAGGGCCCAGACUCCUCCGGGGGGCGGCGGUGGGGAAGAUGGCACAAUGGGCGGAAGCUGGAUGCAGCAACGCCGGGUGCGGGAUGACGGCUUUCGGGUUGAAACCCGCUUUGGCCUGUAACGAAGCGUGUGUGACGGUAAUGGGUAAAGAAGCACCGGCUAACUACGUG